UACGUAGGGUGCAAGCGUUGUCCGGAAUUAUUGGGCGUAAAGAGCUCGUAGGCGGUCUGUCGCGUCUGCUGUGAAACUCAGGGCUUAACCCUGAGCUUGCAGUGGGUACGGGCAGACUAGAGUGCGGUAGGGGAGACUGGAAUUCCUGGUGUAGCGGUGAAAUGCGCAGAUAUCAGGAGGAACACCGGUGGCGAAGGCGGGUCUCUGGGCCGUAACUGACGCU
rnacentral:rRNA from 1 species